GCCUGCGGAGAAAGGGGGCGGGCGGGUGCAGGUUUGCUUAUUUUUUACGGUGAUUCACAGUGAGGUUGGUCGGGUACCUUGGGAUUAAAAGGAGGAGGUAUCGGGUUCUAGACCUCUUUUGGGGGGCAUAGGUAGACUGCACUGCAGACAUUGGGUAUAUUGGGGGGAAAUAAAUGGCUGUGUGGGGUUAGUGUUUAACAGAGGUGAAAAGGCCGGAGCUCACGAGUAGGGUCCAGCUGCAGGCCCGGAGAACAACACUCUGGCGUGACAACGACCCUGGUGCGACCGUAAAACCCCAAGAAGAAGAAGAAGAACCCUGGCGCGACGGAAGUACUCUGGCGUGACGGAAGUGAUUUAUUUUUUUUACACACCGCUAAAUUGGAUACCAAAGAUGAACCAUGGAAUAUGCUUGGUACCUUGCCAUGGAGGCACCAUUUGACUUCACUGUUAAAGACAUGCCUGUCCUCAGAAAAUGGUGGUGCACAGUACUGCUUGAGAACUUCCACCUGGAUGGGCACCGUGCACGGCAGAAGGUUCCCACACUUCAUGGAGGAAGCCAAACAAAUGGUGGCUGGACUACUUCCACCAGUCUUCAGACUGAAGCGAAAAAGAGAAUGAGUUGGAGCUGAUGGCAGUCAGCAUGAAGAAGCUAUAUCUUUAGGCUUCUGUAGAUUAUUUGUUAAAUAAAUUGUGAGGAAACUUUGGUGUGAUUAUUCUUCAAUGUAUAUUUAUAUCAAAUUAUGAUGGUAUACUUUACAA